rnacentral:misc_RNA from 1 species
GUGAAUCAUCGAAUCUUUGAACGCAAAUUGCACUCUCCUCGGAGAGUAUGCCUGUUUGAGGGUCAGACUAUAAAAAAUCGACAUCGUUGCUGUUUUGUGGUGGCGUUAGUCGGAAAUUGGGUCAUCUUAAAUCAUUUUGGUUUUUAAGUGACUUAAAAUUUUCUGUUUGGUUCCAUGAACGUUUCUAAGAUUUAUUUCUUUACACGUUUAAGGUAUCGAUUUUUAUUAGAUGUGACCAUCAUAUCGGAUCGCGUCAAUAAUUUUUCAUUACUU